rnacentral:misc_RNA from 1 species
AAGUCGUAACAAGGUUUCCGUAGGUGAACCUGCGGAAGGAUCAUUACCUAGAGUUGUAGGCUUUGCCUACCAUCUCUUACCCGUGUCUUUUGAGUACCUUCGUUUCCUCGGCGGGUCCGCCCGCCGAUUGGACAAACUUAAACCCUUUGUAAUUGGAAUCAGCGUCUGAAAAACAUAAUAGUUACAA